rnacentral:rRNA from 1 species
CGGCGGACGGGUGAGUAACGCGUGGGUAACCUGCCUCAUACAGGGGGAUAACAGUUGGAAACGGCUGCUAAUACCGCAUAAGCGCACAGUACCGCAUGGUACGGUGUGAAAAACUCCGGUGGUAUGAGAUGGACCCGCGUCUGAUUAGGUAGUUGGUGAGGUAACGGCCCACCAAGGCGACGAUCAGUAGCCGACCUGAGAGGGUGACCGGCCACAUUGGGACUGAGACACGGCCCAG